AGAUACUAAUCAUCUAGACCACGUGGAUUGGUGGAAGUCAUGCAAAACAGUUUUUCCCGCAUUCAUGUAAUGAUGGCACUGAAGCAGACACAUUGAGCACACGUAUGGUAUGUUAACGCUUGUUGUACUAAUUACAUAUGCCACCAACAAAGGUGAUGGAUCCAAUUUGAGAUUUUAACUUUCCUGACCAGGACAGUCACGCAAUACUGGAAUAUAAAAGAAAACCAGAAACCCUGAACAUGACAAUGACCCAACACACCACCAGGCUGUGUAAGGGAUAUUUGAACAAGAAGGAGAGUGAUGGAGUUCUGCAUCAGAUGAUCCAGCCUCCACAAUCACCCGACCUCAUCCCAAGUGAGAUGGCUUGGGAAAAGCAGCCAACAAGUGCUCAGCAUAUGAGCGAACUCCUUCAAGACUGUUGGAAUGGCAUUCCAGCUGAAGAUGGUUGAGAGAAUGCCAAGUGUGCAAUGCUGAUAUCAAGUAAGUUUAUUCCCAGUUGUCUUGAAAGCACCAUGAAUCCAGAGAAUGCCAGACCUUGAUGACAAAGUUUGAUGACAAAAUUUACCCACGAAGGACCGCCGCACCAUCUUCCUGCUCAAGUAAGCACAGCACAAGAACGGGAUUUUCUGCAUGUGGUUCAUGAGCAGAAAGCCCACUCUUCCCAGGAUGGUCUCUGCUCUCUCUGAUGAAACCGUCCCAUUGGAGCACUUGGAAUGGGCACAAUCCUCCUCACUCUUCAAUCCCUCCCUCGGGCUCACCUCCUCAGUGACGCUCCUCUCUUCACUCUCAAUUUCAAUGCCUAUCCAAUAAUCCUAACAGGAAGACAUUGACUCUAGAUGUAAUAUUGUUCCAAUGUGGCAAAUUCAAUACACAAUUGAGUGAUUAACAUACAAUGAUGGCCAAUUAACCCGAGUGAGGGGUGAUGUUUUAUACUGUGAGCAAAGAGCAGCAGGGUUGGGGUCAAUUCCAUUUCAAUUCCGAUCAAAAGACUAAGGUUCCAAUUCUCUUCAACGCUUUGAAUUGAAAUAGAACUGACCACCAUCCCUGUGAAGUUUUAGUGUGAAAUAGGACACCUACCUUUUCCUCUUCCAGGAUCCAGGGCCUGGGUUCCUCAUCCUCUGACCUGCAUAUGGAGGCUCCAACUCUAACAGGCAUCUUAGUGACCACGCAGGUCAGAGGGGUGGGCAGCUCAUUGCAGGUUGCC